GAGAUUGUGGCUCAGCGGUAGAGCGCUCGCCUAGCACGUGUGAGGCCCUGGGUUGGAUCCUCAGCAUCA
rnacentral:tRNA from 1 species